GACGAACGCUGGCGGCGUGCUUAACACAUGCAAGUCGAACGGAAAGGCCCUGCUUUUGUGGGGUGCUCGAGUGGCGAACGGGUGAGUAACACGUGAGUAACCUGCCCUUGACUUUGGGAUAACUUCAGGAAACUUGGGCUAAUACCGGAUAGGAGCUCCUGCUGCAUGGUGGGGGUUGGAAAGUUUCGGCGGUUGGGGAUGUACUCGCUGCUUAUCAGCUUGUUGGUGGGGUAGUGGCUUACCAAGGCUUUGACGGGUAGCCGGCCUGAGAGGGUGACCGGCAAAAUUGGGACUGAGAUACGGCCCAGACGCCUACGGGAGGCAGCAGUGGGGAAUAUUGCACAAUGGGCGGAAGCCUGAUGCAGCAACGCCGCGUGCGGGAUGACGGCCUUCGGGUUGUAAACCGCUUUCGCCUGUGACGAAGCGUGAGUGACGGUAAUGGGUAAAGAAGCACCGGCUAACUACGUG
rnacentral:rRNA from 1 species